rnacentral:rRNA from 1 species
UACGAAGGGGGCUAGCGUUGCUCGGAAUCACUGGGCGUAAAGCGCACGUAGGCGGAUCUUUAAGUCAGGGGUGAAAUCCCAAGGCUCAACCUUGGAACUGCCUUUGGUACUGGGGAUCUCGAGUCCGGAAGAGGUGAGUGGAACUGCGAGUGUAGAGGUGAAAUUCGUAGAUAUUCGCAAGAACACCAGUGGCGAAGGCGGCUCACUGGUCCGGAACUGACGCUGAGGUGCGAAAGCGUGGGGAGCAAACAGG